CCUCUCUCAGAGUCACACUUGGAGAGUUUCCAGUACUCUACCAGUUGCGACUACGGGAGGGAGAGUCGAGCAGAGGUAUAUCUGUUCUAUUACUAGCUUGGCCAGGGGCUAGAGAGUGGAAGAAACUCUGCUACAAGU